AGCGAACGCUGGCGGCAGGCUUAACACAUGCAAGUCGAGCGGGCAUCCGUGGGGUUUCAGCGGCAGACGGGUGAGGAACGCGUGGGAACGUGCCCUGCGUUUCGGAAUAACUCAGGGAAACUUGAGCUAAUACCGGAUACGUGCGAGAGCAGAAAGGUUUGUCUGCCGAAGGAUCGGCCCGCGUCUGAUUAGCUAGUUGGUGAGGUUAUGGCUCACCAAGGCGACGAUCAGUAGCUGGUGUGAGAGGAUGAUCAGCCACACUGGGACUGAGACACGGCCCAGACUCUUCCGGGAGGCAGCAGUGGGGAAUAUUGGACCAUGGCGGCAAUCAUGAUCCAGCCAUGCCGCGUGAGUGAUGACGGCAUUAGGGUUGUAAAGCUCUUUUCUCCGGGACGAUAAUGACGGUACCGGAGGAAUAAGCCCCGGCUAACUUCGUG
rnacentral:rRNA from 1 species